AGCAGCCGCGGUAAUUCCAGCUCCAAUAGCGUAUAUUAAAGUUGCUGCAGUUAAAAAGCUCGUAGUUGAAUUUCGGGGUUAGUAGGUUGGUCAUGCCUCUGGUAUGUACUGGUCUAACUGAUUCCUCCUUCCUGAUGAACCUUAAUGCCAUUAAUUUGGUGUUUUGGGGAAUUUGGACUGUUACUUUAGAAAAAAUUAGAGUAGUUUAAAGCAAGCUAACGCUUGAAUACAUUAGCAUGGAAUAAUGAAAUAGGACGUUCGAUCCUAUUUUGUUGGUUUCUAGGAUUGACGUAAUAAUUAAUAGGGAUAGUUGGGGGCAUUAGUAUUCAAUUGUCAGAGGUGAAAUUCUUGGAUUUAUUGAAGACUAACUACUGCGAAAGCAUUUGCCAAGGAUGUUUUCAUUAAUCAAGAACGAAAGUUAGGGGAUCGAAGACGAUCAGAUACCGUCGUAGUCUUAACCAUAAACUAUGCCGACUAGGGAUCGGAUGAUGUUAAUUUUUUAAUUGUACUCAUUCGGCGC
rnacentral:rRNA from 1 species